AUUGAACGCUGGCGGCAGGCCUAACACAUGCAAGUCGAACGAGUGGCGGACGGGUGAGUAAUGUCUGGGAAACUGCCUGAUGGAGGGGGAUAACUACUGGAAACGGUAGCUAAUACCGCAUACCAUCGGAUGUGCCCAGAUGGGAUUAGCGAGUAGGGGGGGUAACGGCUCCCCUAGGCGACGAUCCCUAGCUGGUCUGAGAGGAUGACAAGCCACACUGGAACUGUGACACGGUCCAGACUCCUACGGUAGGCAGCAUUGGGGAAUAUUGCACAAUGGGCGCAAGCCUGAUGCAGCCAUGCCGCGUGUAUGAAGAAGGCCUUCGGGUUUUAAAGUACUUUCAGCGGGGAGGCGUUACCCGCAGAAGAAGCACCGGCUAACUCCGUGCCAGCAGCCGCGGUAAUUC
rnacentral:rRNA from 1 species